rnacentral:rRNA from 1 species
AGCUCAACUUUGUAAUCUGGCUCUUUCAGAGUCCGAGUUGUAGUCUCGAGAAGCAACAUCCGCAUCGGACCUUGGGUAUGUCUGUUGGAAAACAGCGUCGUAGAGGGUGACAAUCCCGUUUGUACCAAGGACGACCGCGUGCAUUGUGGUGUGCUUUCCAAGAGUCGAGUUGUUUGGGAAUGCAGCUCAAAUUGGGUGGUAAAUUCCAUCUAAAGCUAAAUAUUGGCGAGAGACCGAUAGCGAACAAGUACCGUGAGGGAAAGAUGAAAAGCACUUUGGAAAGAGAAUGAAACAGUAUGUGAAAUUGCUGGAAGGGAAACGAUUGAAGUUAGACUUGCGUGGGCCCCACUCAGCCUUUUUGGUGUACUUGGGGCCCGUUGCAGGCCAGCAUCGGUUUGCUUCGCGGAAUAAGGGUGCGCGGGAUGUGGCUUCUUUUGAAGUGUUAUAAACGCGCACUGGAUGCCGAGUCGCAGACCGAGGAACGCAGCGUGUUUGUAGUGCCUGCCCGUACA